UGGGCAACCUGCCCCUAGCUCUGGGAUAACUGCGGGAAACUGUAGCUAAUACCGGAUGUGACACGAGACUGCAUGGUCUUCGUGUGGAAAGAUUUAUCGGCUAGGGAUGGGCUCGCGGCCUAUCAGCUAGUUGGUGUGGGUAAUGGCCCACCAAGGCGACGACGGGUAGCCGGCCUGAGAGGGUGACCGGCCACACUGGGACUGAGACACGGCCCAGACUCCUACGGGAGCAG
rnacentral:rRNA from 1 species